CGGGGUGUAGCGCAGCCUGGUAGCGCGCCUGCUUCGGGAGCAGGAAGUCGUAGGUUCGAAUCCUGCCACCCCGA
rnacentral:tRNA from 1 species